UACGGGGGGGGCAAGCGUUGUUCGGAAUUACUGGGCGUAAAGGGCGCGUAAGCGGUUCGAUAAGUCAGCUGUGAAAACCAUGGGCUUAACUCAUGGCCUGCAGUUGAGACUGUCGGGCUGGAGUGUGGGAAAGGAGAGUGGAAUUCCUGGUGUAGCGGUGAAAUGCGUAGAUAUCAGGAGGAACACCGGUGGCGAAGGCGGCUCUCUGGACCACAACUGACGCUGAGACGCGAAAGCGUGGGGAGCAAACAGG
rnacentral:rRNA from 1 species